rnacentral:lncRNA from 1 species
GCGUGCAUCAUCGUCGACACUCACCUGCUGUCCAUGGUGGAGGUGGCCAUUCAGCUCUCCGUGCGCACCCUCGUCCUCCGCACUGGCAGCGCCGCCUGCCUCUCGUGCUUCGUCGCCUACCCUCUCCUCAUCAAGAGAGGAUACCUCCCUGUGCAAGGCAGGUAGCAUAAUUCCCAUAAAUAUCUCUUGGAUCGAUCGAUGACCCUGCAGGUUUGCUUGCAGAGUCGGAGCUGGAAACGGAGGUGAGCGAGCUGCCGCCGUACCGGGUGCGCGACCUGAUGCAGCUCGGAAGGCGCCACGACCUGACGUGCAAGCUGCUGGAGCGCGUCGUGGGGGCCGUGAAAGCGUCCUCCGGCAUCAUCCUCAACACUUUCGACGCGCUGGAGCGGCCGGAGCUGGCGAAGCUCCGGCGUGACCUCGACAUGCCGGUGUUCGACAUCGGCCCGCUCCACCUGUUCUCGCCCGCCGCAGCAGCCGAGAGCAGCCUGCUGCGGCAGGACCGGAGCUGCCUGAAGUGGCUGGACGCGCAGCCAGCGGCGUCGGUGCUGUACGUGAGCUUCGGCAGC